AUGACCCAGAAUCCAGAGUCCCUGGCAAAGUCUCCAGGAGAUAGAGUCACCAUCAAUUGCAAAGCCAGUUCCUGCCUUUCUGACUACUUAGCCUGGUACCAGCAGAAAACGGGACAAGCUCCUAAGCUCCUCAUCUACUUUGCUUCCACCCGCAACUCCGGGAGCCCAUCCCGGUUCAUUGACAGUGGGUCUGGGACCGAUUUCACUCUCACCAUCAGCAGGGUUGAAGUGGAUGAUGCUGGAGAUUAUUACUGUCAGCAAGACUACGAAACCCCUCUACACAGUGAUAUAGAGCAGCACAAAAACCUCCCUGUGCUGUUCAGUUCAGAGUCGCAACUGCCUCCUGCAGAGACCUGCUUAGUGCAGCUGCUACACUUAUUUACACACUUACAGCCUUAA